rnacentral:rRNA from 1 species
UACGUAGGGUGCAAGCGUUGUCCGGAAUUAUUGGGCGUAAAGAGCUCGUAGGCGGUCUGUCACGUCGGCUGUGAAAACCUGGGGCUCAACCCCGGGCCUGCAGCCGAUACGGGCAGACUAGAAUUCGGUAGGGGAGACUGGAAUUCCUGGUGUAGCGGUGAAAUGCGCAGAUAUCAGGAGGAACACCGGUGGCGAAGGCGGGUCUCUGGGCCGAUAUUGACGCUGAGAAGCGAAAGCAUGGGGAGCGAACAGG